rnacentral:rRNA from 1 species
UCGAGCGGACCAAAGGGAGCUUGCUCCUGGAGGUUAGCGGCGAACGGGUGAGUAACACGUGGGCAACCUGCCUGUAAGACUGGGAUAACAUCGAGAAAUCGGUGCUAAUACCGGAUAAUAAAAAGAACUGCAUGGUUCUUUUUUGAAAGAUGGUUUCGGCUAUCACUUACAGAUGGGCCCGCGGCGCAUUAGCUAGUUGGUGGGGUAACGGCUCACCAAGGCGACGAUGCGUAGCCGACCUGAGAGGGUGAUCGGCCACACUGGGACUGAGACACGGCCCAGACUCCUACGGGAGGCAGCAGUAGGGAAUCUUCCGCAAUGGACGAAAGUCUGACGGAGCAACGCCGCGUGAGUGAUGAAGG